AAAGGAGGUCACGUGGGAUCUUGCGAAAUUAACAGCAAUGAAAAUGGCGAAACGAAACUUGUGAAUCGUGCAUUUGCUCUUCAUGGUAGCUGCCAGAAAAUCGAAUCAAACUUACGGGACACUGGAUUACAGGUUGCUGCCACUACUCCAUGUGCCCGCAAUUGUCUUGCGUGUAUGAUUACACUUAUGUCGUCGCCCACCACGGCGGAAGUAUUUUGCGUACACGCGUUUCAGCAUGAAGCCUGCAGGUGGACGUAAAUUGUAGAAGGCAGCUAGUGGGGGAGAAGAUCAUGGUCAUAGGUCAUGUGACUCCUGGAGCUCCCAGUGGGCUCCCUUGUGGAAUACUUUUCAGAACACACACACACACACAGUUUGCUCACAGAACCAACGAGUAGGAUGUUGCUUGAAUACUGAGAGAAAAUGGCGUAACACAUACAAAUAUCGUGUGACACAUAUGACAAUAAAAACAUUUUUCACGAGGGA